AAGCAUAUCGUGAGUGAAUGAGAGGUGGAGGGAGAGGUGUGAGAUUAGUAGUAAAUAGUCAUUUACUCUAUUUUUUUUGUAUGAGGUCACAUGUAUGACAGUUGCAGUCUAGUAGCGAGUAUGAAUGUGCACCAAUUUCAAAGGUGGAUGCACUAGAUAUAUCAUUUGGAAUUUGAUCAUGUAAUAUCAGUUUGGUGUAGUAGUUGUCUUUUCAUAAAAACUAGCCUUCAAAACACGUAAUAAUUUUCGAGGACAUU
rnacentral:lncRNA from 1 species